AACUGCUGCCUGAAACCAUGAAGAAGAAGGAAGAUGAGCACUGAAAGAGACACCUCCCAAAAUCCUUCAUCUUGUCCCAUCCCUAUUGUUGUCUUAUAAAAACCCCAAAUUCCAAACCCUUCAUCGUG